CUAUGUGUUGUUGGGUAGGGGAGCGUUCUGUAAGCCUGUGAAGGUGUACUGUGAGGUAUGCUGGAGGUAUCAGAAGUGCGAAUGCUGACAUAAGUAACGAUAAAGCGGGUGAAAAGCCCGCUCGCCGGAAGACCAAGGGUUCCUGUCCAACGUUAAUCGGGGCAGGGUGAGUCGACCCCUAAGGCGAGGCCGAAAGGCGUAGUCGAUGGGAAACAGGUUAAUAUUCCUGUACUUGGUGUUACUGCGAAGGGGGGACGGAGAAGGCUAUGUUGGCCGGGCGACGGUUGUCCCGGUUUAAGCGUGUAGGCUGGU
rnacentral:rRNA from 1 species